rnacentral:rRNA from 1 species
CACGGGGGGAGCAAGCGUUGUUCGGAAUCACUGGGCGUAAAGGGCGUGUAGGCGGUCGGGUAAGUCUGAUGUGAAAUCUCACAGCUUAACUGUGAAACUGCAUUGGAUACUACUCGGCUAGAGAGUUGGAGGGGGGACUGGAAUUCUUGGUGUAGCAGUGAAAUGCGUAGAUAUCAAGAGGAACACCAGUGGCGAAGGCGAGUCCCUGGACAACUUCUGACGCUGAGGCACGAAAGCUAGGGGAGCAAACAGG